AUGCAGAGGAGUUGGAAAAGGUUAGCGAAGAAGCUGAUGCUGUUGAUUUCGACGGUACAAUGCCUGAAUGGUGGAGCUGUUGCUUUUGUUUGGAUUUGCGGUUUUGAUUCUGAUUCAGAAACUCUCUCUCUCUCUUGUUUUUCGUCUGUGGACUUACAAUUGUUUCAAUAUUGUUGGAAUUGUGUAUCAUGCGUUUUGGCUUUUGACAGGUCAUAUGAAAUUGAUGGAAUUUGUGUAACUUAUGUGAAGGUGAAGGAUAGAGUUAAAUAUGGUGGAAAGGUGAUGUUGUGA